UGGAAGACAUAAAAGACCACUGAUAAUCUCCCUCGAUCUGGGGCUCCACGCAAGAUCUCACCCCGUGGGGUCAAAAUGAUCACAAGAACUGUGAGCAAAAAUCCCAGAACCACACGGGGGGACCUAGUGAAUGACCUGCAGAGAGCUGGGACCAAAGUAACAAAGGCUACCAUCAGUAACACACUGCAACACACCUCCAACAAAGGAUCACUAAAAAGCUUGCUGGUGGCAUUGCAGACACUGCUACCUGGAUGACCAACGCUGGCAAUGAGUUUGGUCAAGUCCUAAACUUUGUCCUAACAACAGGUGAGGGAGCCGGUCUGGAUGACUUGUGUCAGGGCAUCGUGAAUCGAUACAAGGAUGCUGGGGAGCCAGAGCCAGCUGAGAUUUAUGUUGACAGGGACUGCUACAGCGGGACGGGUGUGACUCCAGUUCUUACCUGGUUUCGACCAUGGAAGGUCACAGUGCGUCUUGAUGUCUUCCACUUCAUGCGACGGAUCACUGCUGGUCUUACAACGGAGCACCAUCCACUGUAUGGCACUUUCUGCUCCAAGUUGUCCAGCUGUAUCUUUGAAUGGGACAAGAAUGACAUUGCUUGUCUUAAAGGGGCAAAAAAGAGCAUGCUUUUAAAAAAACAUGGGGGGCAUAUUACAACAGAGGCCCAAAUCCUUUCAAGCAUCACCUCCAGUGAACUGGCCAAGCACUGCAGGAGGAGGACACGGGGAGUGGAAGAAACUCGUGCCUUGAUUCAAGGACUGCUGGACUCCAUGUGGGAACUGACCGACACAACUGGUUUGCGCCUCAUCAAUCCAGAAAGCAUGACGCAUGUGUGGGAGGUGCAACAUAAGCAUUUACCCUGCAUCUAAGAUCCACCCGCUGUUCAGCUUUACACAAAACUGGGCUCCGGGUUACAGAAGGGAGACAAGGUUCUGGAUGUACUGAGGUGUGGCAGAGGGUCCUCUUCUCUGGAAAGCUUUCAUCGCCUCCAGUGCACUUUUAUUCCUGGGUGGAGAUGUAAUGCUCUUCAUACUCAGAUGUACAUGCUUGAGGGUACAUCGAGAUGGAACAUCAACCGGGCUCAUCAGGCUGUGGACAUGAGUGGUACAUCACAUACUAAAAUCUAUGAUGUACAUUUAAUGUCCCACAUGAACGUCCUCAGCAACAGAGUCCUCGGAUGAGCUCUCCUGCCAGAAUUCAUGCCCCCUGGGAAACCCACUGAUGAACGUAUAGCUGUGGAGUACUUGCUGGCGCAGUCUGACAGAGGAGACCUGCUUUCUCCACUGGAGCACAGUGAAAUCACUCCGCCAGAGACACAGGUUGAAGUUCAGGAGGAUGAGUGUCUGGAUGUCACUAUAUGUGAUGCAGCGGACAUCAAUUUAGAUGCACACACCCUUAACAGUUCCAGCAGUCAUGAUUCAUUGAUCUCAUCUCUGGUAAUGUCAAUUUUCUUGAUUAUUCUUAAUUUAAAAUGGCAUAGGAAUGUUAUGAAACAAGACUCAAGUUUAACACAGGUGCACUACAAUUUAACUCACCUCUCAGUCGCUUGCUGACCAGGGGCUGAGCCACUACGCUUCCGAGAAGCUCUCCAGGGACCUGGCAAGGCAUUUUUCUUGCACUUAAGGGGGUAACACUUUAGAAUACUGUUCCAUCAUUAAUGAAUAA